rnacentral:tRNA from 1 species
GCUCUCGUGGUGUAGUGGCUAUCACUGUGGACUUUGAAUCCACCAUCCCUGGUUCGAUUCCAGGCGGGAGCU